rnacentral:rRNA from 1 species
UACGGAGGAUGCGAGCGUUAUCCGGAUUUAUUGGGUUUAAAGGGUGCGUAGGUUGUUUUUUAAGUCAGCGGUGAAAGUUUGUGGCUCAACCAUAAAAUUGCCGUUGAAACUGGAAGACUUGAGUGUGUUUGAGGUAUGCGGAAUGCGCAGUGUAGCGGUGAAAUGCUUAGAUAUUGCGCAGAACUCCGAUUGCGAAGGCAGCAUGCCGGCUCCACACUGACGCUGAGGCACGAAAGCGUGGGUAUCGAACAGG